rnacentral:tRNA from 1 species
UAGCUUAGUAGUAGAGCACUUGUUUAACAAACAUGAGGCCCUAGGUUUGAUCCCCAG